AGAAUCAACGCUGGCGGCGUGCCUAACACAUGCAAGUCGAACGCGAGAGGGGCUUCGGCCCCAAUUGAGUGGCGAACGGGUGAGUAACGCGUGGGUGACCUACCUUCGAGUGGGGGAUAACGUCCCGAAAGGGACGCUAAUACCGCAUAACAUCCUGCCUUUGAACAGGCGGUGAUCAAAGCCGGGGAUCGCAAGACCUGGCGCUUGAUGAGGGGCCCGCGUCUGAUUAGCUAGUUGGUGAGGUAAUGGCCCACCAAGGCAACGAUCAGUA
rnacentral:rRNA from 1 species